UAUACAUUCUUGGGCUCAGACCCUAAAUCCUUUUCUGCUAAAGAGGAGACAGCAGAUCAAACAAUCCUGAUAUUCAAGACUGUCUAGAAAUUCCCAGUGUGUGGGAAACAGAUAAAUUAUGCUUGAAAUUUAACAAAGGAAAAAAUCUCAUAAGCAAAAUCAGUGUGCAACACAAAUCACAUGGCAGUGUCCAUUACUGUGGUAAAGGUUUUUGCUGAAUGAAGCAUCUCCAUUGCUCUUCCCUAAGUCUUCUCACUCUACAAUCUCCUGCCUGCUUGAAAUUCACAUUUUCCUUCAGCAAAGCUUAUUAACUUUGCAGCUGAUGAGUGAUGAUAGAGACCCAAGUACUUCCUCUGAAGCUGACUGUAUGUUUACCAUAGAAGGCUGAUAAUCCCUCCUAUUCCUGUAUGGUUACAAGUUGCCAGCACUACAGGAAAGAGAAGCCUGGAAGUACAUUAUGGGAAAAGAAGUAGAUAGGUCUUCAGUGUAAAAUCUGAAGGGGUCAUAAUGUUUAGAAAGAUCACCUGGCAGCAAUGUAGAGAAUGGACUGGAGAGAUGCUAGACCAGAAGCCAGGGGACC
rnacentral:lncRNA from 1 species